AUUGCUUUUUGGCCUUUUGGCUAAGAUCAAGUGUGGUUUUUGUUAAUAUCAGUUUAAUACCUGAUACAUCCUCUAUCUGAGGACAAGAUAUUAAAUGGAUUUUUGGAGCUAAAAGUUGGAUUAGGAGCUUGCUCCAUCCACUCCACACAUUAACCUGGUAUUGAAGUACCUCCAGGAAUGGUGCACAGGGA